AUUGAACGCUGGCGGCAGGCUUAACACAUGCAAGUCGAGCGGGGGAAGGUAGCUUGCUACCGGACCUAGCGGCGGACGGGUGAGUAAUGCUUAGGAAUCUGCCUAUUAGUGGGGGACAACAUCUCGAAAGGGAUGCUAAUACCGCAUACGUCCUACGGGAGAAAGCAGGGGAUCUUCGGACCUUGCGCUAAUAGAUGAGCCUAAGUCGGAUUAGCUAGUUGGUGGGGUAAAGGCCUACCAAGGCGACGAUCUGUAGCGGGUCUGAGAGGAUGGUCCGCCACACUGGGAAUGAGACAAGGCCCAGACUCCUACGGGAGGCAGCAGUGGGGAAGAUUGGACAAUGGGGGGAACCCUGAUCCAGCCAUGCCGCGUGUGUGAAGAAGGCCUUAUGGUUGUAAAGCACUUUAAGCGAGGAGGAGGCUACUCUAGUUAAUACCUAGGGAUAGUGGACGUUACUCGCAGAAUAAGCACCGGCUAACUCUGUGCCAGCCGCCGCCGUAA
rnacentral:rRNA from 1 species